rnacentral:rRNA from 1 species
GACGAACGCUGUCGGCGUGCUUAACACAUGCAAGUCGAACGGAAAGGCCCUGCUUUUGUGGGGUGCUCGAGUGGCGAACGGGUGAGUAACACGUGAGUAACCUGCCCUUGACUUUGGGAUAACUUCAGGAAACUGGGGCUAAUACCGGAUAGGAGCUCCUGCUGCAUGGUGGGGGUUGGAAAGUUUCGGCGGUUGGGGAUGGACUCGCGGCUUAUCAGCUUGUUGGUGGGGUAGUGGCUUACCAAGGCUUUGACGGGUAGCCGGCCUGAGAGGGUGACCGGCCACAUUGGGACUGAGAUACGGCCCAGACUCCUACGGGAGGCAGCAGUGGGGAAUAUUGCACAAUGGGCGGAAGCCUGAUGCAGCAACGCCGCGUGCGGGAUGACGGCCUUCGGGUUGUAAACCGCUUUCGCCUGUGACGAAGCGUGAGUGACGGUAAUGGGUAAAGAAGCACCGGCUAACUACGUGCCAGCAGCCGCGGUGAUACGUAGGGUGCGAGCGUUGUCCGGAUUUAUUGGGCGUAAAGGGCUCGUAGGUGGUUGAUCGCGUCGGAAGUGUAAUCUUGGGGCUUAACCCUGAGCGUGCUUUCGAUACGGGUUGACUUGAGGAAGGUAGGGGAGAAUGGAAUUCCUGGUGGAGCGGUGGAAUGCGCAGAUAUCAGGAGGAACACCAGUGGCGAAGGCGGUUCUCUGAGCCUUUCCUGACGCUGAGGAGCGAAAGCGUGGGGAGCGAACAGGCUUAGAUACCCUGGUAGUCCACGCUGUAAACGGUGGGUACUAGGUGUGGGGUCCAUUCCACGGGUUCCGUGCCGUAGCUAACGCUUUAAGUACCCCGCCUGGGGAGUACGGCCGCAAGGCUAAAACUCAAAGGAAUUGACGGGGCCCCGCACAAGCGGCGGAGCAUGCGGAUUAAUUCGAUGCAACGCGUAGAACCUUACCUGGGUUUGACAUGGAUCGGGAGUGCUCAGAGAUGGGUGUGCCUCUUAUGGGGUCGGUUCACAGGUGGUGCAUGGCUGUCGUCAGCUCGUGUCGUGAGAUGUUGGGUUAAGUCCCGCAACGAGCGCAACCCUUGUUCACUGUUGCCAGCACGUUAUGGUGGGGACUCAGUGGAGACCGCCGGGGUCAACUCGGAGGAAGGUGGGGAUGACGUCAAGUCAUCAUGCCCCUUAUGUCCAGGGCUUCACGCAUGCUACAAUGGCUGGUACAGAGAGUGGCGAGCCUGUGAGGGUGAGCGAAUCUCGGAAAGCCGGUCUCAGUUCGGAUUGGGGUCUGCAACUCGACCUCAUGAAGUCGGAGUCGCUAGUAAUCGCAGAUCAGCAACGCUGCGGUGAAUACGUUCCCGGGGCU